rnacentral:misc_RNA from 1 species
GAUGAAGAACUUAGCGAAAUGCGAUAAGUAAUGUGAAUUGCAGAAUUCAGUGAAUCAUCGAAUCUUUGAACGCACAUUGCGCCCCUUGGUAUUCCGAGGGGCAUGCCUGUUCGAGCGUCAUUAUAACCCCUCAAGCUCAGCUUGGUGUUGGGGCCUGCUGCACUGGCAGCCCUUAAAAUCAGUGGCGGCGCCAUCUGGCUCUAAGCGUAGUAAUUCUUCUCGCUAUAGAGUCCCGGUGGAUGCUUGCCAUUAACCCCCAAUUUUCUAUGGUUGACCUCGGAUCAGGUAGGGAUACCCGCUGAACUUAAGCAUAUCAAUAAGCGGAGGA